CCUACGGGAGGCAGCAGUGAGGAAUAUUGGUCAAUGGGCGCGACCCUGAACCAGCCAAGUAGCGUGAAUGAUGACUGCCCUACGGGUUGUAAACUUCUUUUAUAAAGGAAUAAAGUGAGGCACUUGUGCCUUUUGGUACGUACUUUAUGAAUAAGGAUGGGCUCACGCCGUGCCAGCAGCCGCGGUAAUACGGAGGAUCCGAGCGUUAUCCGGAUUUAUUGGGUUUAAAGGGAGCGUAGAUGGGUUGUGAAGUCGGUUGUGAAAGUUUGCGGCUCAAACGUAAAAUUGCAAUUGAUACUGGAAGUCUUGAGUACAGUUGAGGUAGGUGGAAUUCGUGGUGUAGCGGUGAAAUGCUUAGAUAUCACGAAGAACUCCGAUUGCGAAGGCAGCUUACUAAACUGUCACUGACAUUGAUGCUCGAAAGUGUGGGUAUCAAACAGGAUUAGAUACCCUAGUAGUC
rnacentral:rRNA from 1 species